GGAUGUCUAAUCUGCUGUCAGUAUGAAGUGUUUUCUCAUAUAAAUAAAUACACUGUAUGUUUUAGUGCUCAGUGACCUAUGAAGAUGUAACAGUGAUAUUCACUCAAGAGGAGUGGACACUAUUAAAUUCUUCAGAGAAGAAACUCUACAGAGAUGUGAUGUGUGAAAAUUUUAGAAACAUUCUGUCGAUAGAACAGUUACAAGAGAAUCAUUCCAUCAAAGAGCAGUAUAACUACCAAGCAAGUAAAAGGUUUGAAUUUCAGUCAUAAUUAUACUGUCCUAUCCAGAAAGCUACUAUGAACUUCUCUGUGAUUUUUUUAUCUUCAUGAUUUCCCUAGAUGAGUGGACCCUUAUGUGUUCCUAAGUUUGUGCUCUUUAGUAUUUGAGCUAUUUCUUGGCUCGUGCUAUAAUACAAUCUUUU